rnacentral:rRNA from 1 species
GUGCACGCUGGCGGUGGCCUACCACAUGCAAGUCGCACGGCAGCACAGUAAGAGCUUGCUCUUACGGGUGGCGAGUGGCGGACGGGUGAGGAAUACAUCGGAAUCUACUUUUUCGUGGGGGAUAACGUAGGGAAACUUACGCUAAUACCGCAUACGACCUACGGGUGAAAGCAGGGGAUCUUCGGACCUUGCGCGAUUGAAUGAGCCGAUGUCGGAUUAGCUAGUUGGCGGGGUAAAGGCCCACCAAGGCGACGAUCCGUAGCUGGUCUGAGAGGAUGAUCAGCCACACUGGAACUGAGACACGGUCCAGACUCCUACGGGAGGCAGCAGUGGGGAAUAUUGGACAAUGGGCGCAAGCCUGAUCCAGCCAUACCGCGUGGGUGAAGAAGGCCUUCGGGUUGUAAAGCCCUUUUGUUGGGAAAGAAAAGCAGCAGGUUAAUACCCCGCUGUUCUGACGGUACCCAAAGAAUAAGCACCGGCUAACUUCGUG